UGCCUAACACAUGCAAGUCGAACGGAACUUUUUUAAAAGAUUUCUUCGGAAUGAUUUUGAUUAAGUUUAGUGGCGGACGGGUGAGUAACGCGUGAGUAACCUGCCUCUAAGAGGGUAAUAACAUUCUGAAAAGAAUGCUAAUACCGCAUAACAUAUAUUUAUCGCAUGGUAGAUAUAUCAAAGAUUUAUCGCUUAGAGAUGGACUCGCGUCCGAUUAGUUAGUUGGUGAGGUAACGGCUCACCAAGACUGCGAUCGGUAGCCGGACUGAGAGGUUGAACGGCCACAUUGGGACUGAGACACGGCCCAGACUCCUACGGGAGGCAGCAGUGGGGGAUAUUGCGCAAUGGGGGAAACCCUGACGCAGCAACGCCGCGUGAAGGAUGAAGGUCUUCGGAUUGUAAACUUCUUUUAUUAAGGACGAAGAAAGUGACGGUACUUAAUGAAUAAGCUCCGGCUAACUACGUGCCAGCAGCCGCGGUAAUACGUAGGGAGCAAGCGUUGUCCGGAUUUACUGGGUGUAAAGGGUGCGUAGGCGGCUUUGCAAGUCAGAUGUGAAAUCUAUGGGCUCAACCCAUAGCCUGCAUUUGAAACUGCAGAGCUUGAGUGAAGUAGAGGCAGGCGGAAUUCCCCGUGUAGCGGUGAAAUGCGUAGAGAUGGGGAGGAACACCAGUGGCGAAGGCGGCCUGCUGGGCUUUAACUGACGCUGAGGCACGAAAGCGUGGGUAGCAAACAGGAUUAGAUACCCUGGUAGUCCACGCUGUAAACGAUGAUUACUAGGUGUGGGGGGUCUGACCCCUUCCGUGCCGGAGCUAACACAAUAAGUAAUCCACCUGGGGAGUACGGCCGCAAGGUUGAAACUCAAAUGAAUUGACGG
rnacentral:rRNA from 1 species